GACGAACGCUGGCGGCGUGCCUAAUACAUGCAAGUAGAACGCUGAAGCGAGGAGCUUCCUCUUCUUGGAUGAGUUGCGAACGGGUGAGUAACGCGUAGGUAACCUGCCUUGUAGCGGGGGAUAACUAUUGGAAACGAUAGCUAAUACCGCAUAACAAUGGAUGACACAUGUCAUUUAUUUGAAAGGGGCAAUUGCUCCACUACAAGAUGGACCUGCGUUGUAUUAGCUAGUAGGUGAGGUAAUGGCUCACCUAGGCGACGAUACAUAGCCGACCUGAGAGGGUGAUCGGCCACACUGGGACUGAGACACGGCCCAGACUCCUACGGGAGGCAGCAGUAGGGAAUCUUCGGCAAUGGGGGCAACCCUGACCGAGCAACGCCGCGUGAGGGAAGAAGGGUUUCGGAUCGUAAAGCUCGGUUGUAAGUCAAGAAAGGGGGUGAGAGUGGAAAGUUCACACUGUGACGGUAGCUUAACAGAAAGGGACGGCUAACUACGUG
rnacentral:rRNA from 1 species